CAAGUCGAAGCGGUAACGCGCCAAACCUUACUACCCGCUGGCACCGGGUGAGUAACGCGUAUGCUUCUGACCUGCCUGGGGUGGGCCAGACAAUUUUGGAUUAAUCCCCCAUAGUAUAUAGUCCUGGCAUAAAAAUUAUGUUAUCUCUUAAGCUUGCAUUAUUGAAUAUGCCUCCCAUUAAUUAGUUGGUGGGUAACUAAUGGCCUACGCGGGAUGGAUCCGGGUCCUGAUAGGGAGACCCCCACACUGUUACUGACUGACAGAGGCCCUCAUACCUACAGGCAGGCAUGAUGAAUAAAUAUUGAAGGUGGGGCAAACCCUGAUCCAUGCCUGCCGCGUGAGUACUGACCUAUGGGUUGUUGACUGCUUUUUCCAUGAGGAAGACUCCCUUCUGGUCGGGAAUUGACGGCUUGACGUAAUAUAGAUCGGCUAACUCCGUGCCUCCGUGCCGGUAAUACCGAGGAUCCGAGCGUUAUCCGCGAAUCAUUGGAUUUACUGGGUCUGUAGGCCGCGCUGAUGGUUUGCGGUGAAAGAUCUGUCGCUUAACGAUCUUAUUGCCGUUGAUACUGUUGGUCUUGCCUCGCUAUAAUGUGGUAGAGAAUGAGUGGAAUUUCCUGUGAAAUGCAUAAAAUAUUACUCAUAUAUACCGAUUGCGAAGGCAGAUCACUAAUAUUGUACUGACGCUGAGGGACGAAAGGUGUGGGGAGCGAACAGAGAUUACAUACUCUGAUACUCCACGCAGUAAACGAUGGUCACUAUGCUGUUCAAACCAAUUGGAUUUUGAGUGGCUAAGCGAAAGUGAUACGUGACCCACCUGGGGACUGCGUUCGCCAGAAUGAAGUCAAGGAAUUGACAGUUGCCCGCGCAGCGGUGGAGCGUGUGGUUUAUGUCUAUGAUCCACGAGGACCUUACCACGUCUUAGAUGUAGUCUGACUUACUUGUAACAGGUAUUUCUUCGGACGAUUACACGUGCUGCAUGGUGCUCGUCAGCUCGUGCGUCACGUGUCAGGUUAGUCGAUACGAUCGCUACCCAUGCUGAUCCCUGCCACUGAUCAGUCAGUACUCUAGCAGACUGCCGUGCAUGCGUGAGCAAACUGAUAACGUCGAUCAUCCGCUACGUCCUGGUCAGCCCGGCUACACUGGUAGGACAGAGGCAUCCAUUGGGCAGUCGACUGACCUUCAAUCGAUCGGAGUCGGAACUCGGAACUCCGGUGGAACUG
rnacentral:rRNA from 1 species